GGCUGGGUAGCUCAGUUGGUAGAGCAGAGGACUGAAAAUCCUCGUGUCGGCGGUUCGAUUCCGCCCCCAGCCACCA
rnacentral:tRNA from 2 species